rnacentral:rRNA from 1 species
GGUUAAGCGACUAAGCGUACACGGUGGAUGCCCUGGCAGUCAGAGGCGAUGAAGGACGUGCUAAUCUGCGAUAAGCGUCGGUAAGGUGAUAUGAACCGUUAUAACCGGCGAUUUCCGAAUGGGGAAACCCAGUGUGUUUCGACACACUAUCAUUAACUGAAUCCAUAGGUUAAUGAGGCGAACCGGGGGAACUGAAACAUCUAAGUACCCCGAGGAAAAGAAAUCAACCGAGAUUCCCCCAGUAGCGGCGAGCGAACGGGGAGCAGCCCAGAGCCUGAAUCAGUGUGUGUGUUAGUGGAAGCGUCUGGAAAGGCGCGCGAUACAGGGUGACAGCCCCGUACACAAAAAUGCACAUGCUGUGAGCUCGAUGAGUAGGGCGGGACACGUGGUAUCCUGUCUGAAUAUGGGGGGACCAUCCUCCAAGGCUAAAUACUCCUGACUGACCGAUAGUGAACCAGUACCGUGAGGGAAAGGCGAAAAGAACCCCGGCGAGGGGAGUGAAAAAGAACCUGAAACCGUGUACGUACAAGCAGUGGGAGCACGCUUAGGCGUGUGACUGCGUACCUUUUGUAUAAUGGGUCAGCGACUUAUAUUCUGUAGCAAGGUUAACCGAAUAGGGGAGCCGAAGGGAAACCGAGUCUUAACUGGGCGUUAAGUUGCAGGGUAUAGACCCGAAACCCGGUGAUCUAGCCAUGGGCAGGUUGAAGGUUGGGUAACACUAACUGGAGGACCGAACCGACUAAUGUUGAAAAAUUAGCGGAUGACUUGUGGCUGGGGGUGAAAGGCCAAUCAAACCGGGAGAUAGCUGGUUCUCCCCGAAAGCUAUUUAGGUAGCGCCUCGUGAAUUCAUCUCCGGGGGUAGAGCACUGUUUCGGCAAGGGGGUCAUCCCGACUUACCAACCCGAUGCAAACUGCGAAUACCGGAGAAUGUUAUCACGGGAGACACACGGCGGGUGCUAACGUCCGUCGUGAAGAGGGAAACAACCCAGACCGCCAGCUAAGGUCCCAAAGUCAUGGUUAAGUGGGAAACGAUGUGGGAAGGCCCAGACAGCCAGGAUGUUGGCUUAGAAGCAGCCAUCAUUUAAAGAAAGCGUAAUAGCUCACUGGUCGAGUCGGCCUGCGCGGAAGAUGUAACGGGGCUAAACCAUGCACCGAAGCUGCGGCAGCGACGCUUAUGCGUUGUUGGGUAGGGGAGCGUUCUGUAAGCCUGCGAAGGUGUGCUGUGAGGCAUGCUGGAGGUAUCAGAAGUGCGAAUGCUGACAUAAGUAACGAUAAAGCGGGUGAAAAGCCCGCUCGCCGGAAGACCAAGGGUUCCUGUCCAACGUUAAUCGGGGCAGGGUGAGUCGACCCCUAAGGCGAGGCCGAAAGGCGUAGUCGAUGGGAAACAGGUUAAUAUUCCUGUACUUGGUGUUACUGCGAAGGGGGGACGGAGAAGGCUAUGUUGGCCGGGCGACGGUUGUCCCGGUUUAAGCGUGUAGGCUGGUUUUCCAGGCAAAUCCGGAAAAUCAAGGCUGAGGCGUGAUGACGAGGCACUACGGUGCUGAAGCAACAAAUGCCCUGCUUCCAGGAAAAGCCUCUAAGCAUCAGGUAACAUCAAAUCGUACCCCAAACCGACACAGGUGGUCAGGUAGAGAAUACCAAGGCGCUUGAGAGAACUCGGGUGAAGGAACUAGGCAAAAUGGUGCCGUAACUUCGGGAGAAGGCACGCUGAUAUGUAGGUGAGGUCCCUCGCGGAUGGAGCUGAAAUCAGUCGAAGAUACCAGCUGGCUGCAACUGUUUAUUAAAAACACAGCACUGUGCAAACACGAAAGUGGACGUAUACGGUGUGACGCCUGCCCGGUGCCGGAAGGUUAAUUGAUGGGGUUAGCGCAAGCGAAGCUCUUGAUCGAAGCCCCGGUAAACGGCGGCCGUAACNAUAACGGUCCUAAGGUAGCGAAAUUCCUUGUCGGGUAAGUUCCGACCUGCACGAAUGGCGUAAUGAUGGCCAGGCUGUCUCCACCCGAGACUCAGUGAAAUUGAACUCGCUGUGAAGAUGCAGUGUACCCGCGGCAAGACGGAAAGACCCCGUGAACCUUUACUAUAGCUUGACACUGAACAUUGAGCCUUGAUGUGUAGGAUAGGUGGGAGGCUUUGAAGUGUGGACGCCAGUCUGCAUGGAGCCGACCUUGAAAUACCACCCUUUAAUGUUUGAUGUUCUAACGUUGACCCGUAAUCCGGGUUGCGGACAGUGUCUGGUGGGUAGUUUGACUGGGGCGGUCUCCUCCUAAAGAGUAACGGAGGAGCACGAAGGUUGGCUAAUCCUGGUCGGACAUCAGGAGGUUAGUGCAAUGGCAUAAGCCAGCUUGACUGCGAGCGUGACGGCGCGAGCAGGUGCGAAAGCAGGUCAUAGUGAUCCGGUGGUUCUGAAUGGAAGGGCCAUCGCUCAACGGAUAAAAGGUACUCCGGGGAUAACAGGCUGAUACCGCCCAAGAGUUCAUAUCGACGGCGGUGUUUGGCACCUCGAUGUCGGCUCAUCACAUCCUGGGGCUGAAGUAGGUCCCAAGGGUAUGGCUGUUCGCCAUUUAAAGUGGUACGCGAGCUGGGUUUAGAACGUCGUGAGACAGUUCGGUCCCUAUCUGCCGUGGGCGCUGGAGAACUGAGGGGGGCUGCUCCUAGUACGAGAGGACCGGAGUGGACGCAUCACUGGUGUUCGGGUUGUCAUGCCAAUGGCACUGCCCGGUAGCUAAAUGCGGAAGAGAUAAGUGCUGAAAGCAUCUAAGCACGAAACUUGCCCCGAGAUGAGUUCUCCCUGACCCUUUAAGGGUCCUGAAGGAACGUUGAAGACGACGACGUUGAUAGGCCGGGUGUGUAAGCGCAGCGAUGCGUUGAGCUAACCGGUACUAAUGAACCGUGAGGCUUAACCUU